rnacentral:rRNA from 1 species
GUUGUAUAGUCAAGUAAUUAAGUGCAUGUGGUGGAUGCCUUGGCAGUCAGAGGCGAUGAAAGACGUAAUAGCCUGCGAUAAGCUCCGGGGAGGCGGCAAAUAUCCUGUGAUCCGGAGAUUUCUGAAUGGGGAAACCCACCUGUCAUAAGGCAGGUAUCGUAUGAUGAAUACAUAGUCAUACGAGGCGAACGAGGGGAAGUGAAACAUCUCAGUACCCUUAGGAAAAGAAAU